rnacentral:rRNA from 1 species
GAUGAACGCUGGCGGCGUGCCUAAUAAAUGCAAGUCGAGCGAACAGAUAAGGAGCUUGCUCCUUUGACGUUAGCGGCGGACGGGUGAGUAACACGUGGAUAACCUACCUAUAAGACUGGGAUAACUUCGGGAAACCGGAGCUAAUACCGGAUAAGAUUUUGAACCGCAUGGUUCAAUAGUGAAAGACGGCCUUGCUGUCACUUAUAGAUGGAUCCGCGCCGUAUUAGCUAGUUGGUAAGGUAACGGCUUACCAAGGCAACGAUACGUAGCCGACCUGAGAGGGUGAUCGGCCACACUGGAACUGAGACACGGUCCAGACUCCUACGGGAGGCAGCAGUAGGGAAUCUUCCGCAAUGGGCGAAAGCCUGACGGAGCAACGCCGCGUGAGUGAUGAAGGUCUUCGGAUCGUAAAACUCUGUUAUCAGGGAAGAACAAACGUGUAAGUAACUGUGCACGUCUUGACGGUACCUGAUCAGAAAGCCACGGCUAACUACGUG